GACGAACGCUGGCGGCGUGCUUAACACAUGCAAGUCGAACGGAAAGGCCCUGCUUUUGUGGGGUGCUCGAGUGGCGAACGGGGGAGUAACACGUGAGUAACCUGCCCUUGACUUUGGGGUAACUUCAGGAAACUGGGGCUAAUACCGGAUAGGAUCUCCUGCUGCAUGGUGGGGGUUGGAAAGUUUCGGGGGUUGGGGUUGGAUUCGCGUCUUAUCGGCUUGUUGGUGGGGUAGUGGCAUACCAAGGCUUUGACGGGUAGCCGGCCUGAGAGGGUGACCGGCCACAUUGGGACUGAGAUACGGCCCAGAAUGCUACGGGAGGCAGCAGAGGAGAAUAUUGCACAAUGGGCGGAAGCCUGAUGCAGAAACGCCGCGUGCGGGAUGACGGCCUUCGGGUUGUAAACCGCUUUCGCCUGAGACGAAGCGUGAGUGACGGUAAUGGGUAAAGAAGCACCGGCUAACUACGUG
rnacentral:rRNA from 1 species